UUAGAAGCAAAUGAUUAGUCUCACAUUUACGGUAAAUGAAGUCAGUUCGAAGGGAUAGCAAAAUGUCCCGUACCAUCACCGCUAUUACAUUAAAGAGGCUCGACAAAAAGAAUUAAAUAAUUUUAAUGUCAUUAAGAACUUUUGAUGAUGCGUGACCCUAACAAAUAUAAAUAAUUUGCAAAAUGAAACAUAUAAUAAAAUCUGGACGACAUAGAAGAUCAAUGAAAAUAUAUUUGUUACAUAUCUCAGAAUAAUUCUCUCUUCGGCCUGACAAUGGAUGUUCCUAAGUUGAAAUUAUUAUACUAUAUUCAUAAUCUUUAUUAUGACAAACGAAACAGCGGGAAAAAAAAAUAAUAAUUAUGCGAAAUAACAAAGUACCAUGAAAUUUCUUUUACAUUCUAUAUUUAGUUAACGUGAUUAUUUAGAAAAAUAUUUGUAAGCGUCAAAUAUAUCCAUCAUCAAUGUUAUCUUCUCUUAAAUUAAAGGAAAUUGUAAUAUAAAUCCUUUUACAGUCGCAAUCGAUAUCAUUGAACAUUUUUAAUAUUAUUUAUGUUUAAAUACAAUUAGAAUAACAACUACCUAGAUAAUAAAUGUGUUACGUAAAUAAUAUCUAUAAAUUUCAAUAAUUUAAUACCAAUCCAGAUGACUGCACAAAUAUUAUUAUUUCUAUUACUUUGAGAGAAACAUUGAUAAUGAAUUUUAUAUACAAUAUUUUUCUAAAAAUAAUUACAAGAUAUAGAAAUUAGUUUGUAAAAGAAAAUGUACAAGUUUUAUUUGGUCCUACAUUUUUCGAUGGCAUUUAUUUACGUUAUCUAUUUAUAUUUAAGUUCAUUAAGUUUAUAAAUUUAUAUUAAAUUUCAUAGGAAGAAUGUUCAAGAAUUUAUCAAAUUUGCGUAAUAAUAUCUGACUGCUUCAGAUUAACUCAUAUCUGUAGCUUAUCUUCGUUUUCGGUUGAAAAAAAAUAUUACUUUUUAAUUAA